rnacentral:rRNA from 1 species
CAAGUCGUGGGGCAGCAGGUCUGUAGCAAUACAGACGCUGGCGACCGGCAAACGGGUGCGGAACACGUACACAACCUUCCUUUAAGUGGGGAAUAGCCCAGAGAAAUUUGGAUUAAUACCCCGUAACAUUUUGAAGUGGCAUCACUUUAUAAUUAUAGCUACGGCGCUUAAUGAUGGGUGUGCGUCUGAUUAGGUAGUUGGCGGAGUAAUAGCCCACCAAGCCUACGAUCAGUAACUGGUGUGAGAGCACGACCAGUCACACGGGCACUGAGACACGGGCCCGACUCCUACGGGAGGCAGCAGUAAGGAAUAUUGGGCAAUGGACGCAAGUCUGACCCAGCCAUGCCGCGUGGAGGAUGAAGGUCCUCUGGAUUGUAAACUUCUUUUAUCUGGGAAGAAAUCCAUCUUUUCUUGGGUGGUUGACGGUACCAGAUGAAUAAGCACCGGCUAACUCCGUGCCAGCAGCCGCGGUAAUACGGAGGGUGCAAGCGUUAUCCGGAUUCACUGGGUUUAAAGGGUGCGUAGGUGGGCAGGUAAGUCAGUGGUGAAAUCCUGUAGCUUAACUACAGAACUGCCAUUGAUACUAUUUGUCUUGAAUGCCCUGGAGGUGAGCGGAAUAUGUCAUGUAGCGGUGAAAUGCUUAGAUAUGACAUAGAACAUCUAUUGCGAAGGCAGCUCACUACGGGAAUAUUGACGCUGAGGCACGAAAGCGUGGGGAUCAAACAGGAUUAGAUACCCUGGUAGUCCACGCCCUAAACGAUGAUCACUCGACAUCAGCGAUACACUGUUGGUGUCUGAGCGAAAGCAUUAAGUGAUCCACCUGGGAAGUACGAUCGCAAGAUUGAAACUCAAAGGAAUUGGCGGGGGUCCGCACAA